UUCAAGAUUUGAGUUAUGGUAAAUCUUAGCUACCCUGGUGAGCUACCGUUUACGGAUCAAAUUUUUAUUUUAAUAUUUCCUCUAACUCCCCCGUUCUCUUCCCCAAGUUUCUCUCUUCUUCGUCCCGAAAUCUCCCCAUUACCUGCCUCCAGACCGUUUGUCUAGUGAUUCCAGCAUUGUCUCAGCGCCCACGCCGUUCGUCCUCUCCGGGUUGCGCCUCCAGGCCGGUCGCCCUCUCCGAUUCCGUCCGUAUCUCUCUCUCUCUCUCUCUCUCCCCCCUCCGCAACAAACCGAACGCCCCUUGUUCGCUCUGCCCCACGUCGUCCCAGCCAUAGCCACUCCACAGCACACGCUGCAAGCUAGUUUCCGUGCCUCCGUACGUAACUCCUGGCCAAUCGACCACGAGUUUCCGUUGAAGUAAUUGAUCUGAAAUUUUAACACCCUCCCUCUCCCUUAAGAUCACUCAUUCAUUCAAAGGUAUAUAUGGUACUUGCAUCUUCCUUUGCCAUUAAAAGAGAUGGGAGAAGAAACAAAGACAGAAAGGCAUUCUUUUACACAUUGUUGGUUGGGGAAUGACUUCGGAAUCCCACACAAAUUAAAAACCAAGUGCACAUGGAUGUCGAAAGGUUUGAUUAUUGCAUACAAAUUUCAGGGAACUCUAUAGAGAGCCAGUAGCAUAAUGGCUGUACCGGCGGGUCUUCAUUAAAUCGGUGAGUUGCAAACUGUAAAAAGUUCCCAUAAUACCUUUAUCUAUAAUUUCCUCGUACUCUUUCCACCAUCCCAUGAAGCUGCUCUUUGGCAAGAAAAUCUCAGGCGAUACUGCAUAAUUACUGAGCAAGCCCAAUACAUAGCCUUCAAAUUCAUUCAGUUUGGAUUUAUGUUGUCCCUCCACGAUGCUCGACUCGCUGUUUUGGAUCAGCCACUUGCAUGAAAUGCGAGCCUCCUCGACGUGUGCCCAGAAGCAAGAAUCCUCGGUAAGACUAGCCUCCACGUUUUUCUUCUUGGAAUUAAUAUUUGGAAUGCUUGCAGGUCUCUUAUCGUCAUUCAGCCAUUCCUCCAAUAGUUUGUAAUGUUUGGGCCUUCCUUUUAAGUAGUCCCUGCGGCGGCCAUCUCUGUAGAAUGCAGCAAUGUCCAGAGGUUCAAUCAUCCUUCGGUAGUUGGUUCCUGCAAAGAGCCAGCGGGUACGAAAGGAGGCGCCUUCCUUCUGGGGCUUUUUUUCUACUUCAUCAACUAAUUCCUCCCAGUACAACGUGAGGGUUUUCUUAAACUUCUUAACAUCUUGAUCACUUGUGAAGCUUUCAUUCUUAUAGCUGUCAUAAUAUCCAAUUCCACUAUCCUUGGAAGUUUUCUUGUACCAUUCCAGCUGGGCCAUGUUUAUUUUCAUUUUAUUCAGCUCCUUGGACGGAUCAAAAACCUGUGCCUUAUGUAUUGUCGAUUUCCAUGUCUUCGUAAUCAGAGCGUCGAUCAUGUUGAUAUUCUGCCAUUUUAAAUGAGUUCAGUUGAACAAGAAGCUAAGUGAGGUUUAA